GUCAGCAUCAGCCAUCUCCCCAGGACCGUUAACAAUACAACCCAUAAUUGCAAUAGAAACUCCAGGAAGAUGUGAUGUCUUUUCCCUUAUUUCUGCGCUUAUUUCUUGAAGAUCAAACAAUGUUCUACCACAAGAUGGGCAUGAAACAUACUCGGUCUUUGUAUUCCUCAUUCUGCAACCUUGUAGCAAAUUGAAGGAUGUAUUCCUUAUGAAAUCAAAAUCCUUAUCUGGGGCUUCUAAUAGGACACCAUCUCCAAGGCCGUCCACCAAAAGGGCUCCCGCAUUGGAACCGGC
rnacentral:misc_RNA from 1 species